rnacentral:rRNA from 1 species
AAACGGCGGCCGUAACUAUAACGGUCCUAAGGUAGCGAAAUUCCUUGUCGGGUAAGUUCCGACCCGCACGAAUGGCGUAACGAUGGCCACACUGUCUCCUCUCGGGACUCAGCGAAGUUGAAAUGUUUGUGAAGAUGCAAUCUACCCGCGGCUAGACGGAAAGACCCCAUGAACCUUUACUGUAGCUUUACAUUGGACUUUGACAAGAUUUGUGUAGGAUAGGUGGGAGACUAUGAAGCGGUGUCGCUAGAUAUCGUGGAGUCAACCUUGAAAUACCACCCUGAUGUUGUUGAGGUUCUAACCUAGGUCCAUAAUCUGGACUGGGGACCGUGUAUGGUGGGCAGUUUGACUGGGGCGGUCUCCUCCCAAAGAGUAACGGAGGAGUGCGAAGGUAACCUAGGUACGGUCGGAAAUCGUACUGAUAGUGCAAUGGCAUAAGGUUGCUUGACUGCGAGACGGACAGGUCGAGCAGGUGCGAAAGCAGGUCAUAGUGAUCCGGUGGUUCUGUAUGGAAGGGCCAUCGCUCAACGGAUAAAGGUCCCAAGGGUAUGGCUGUUCGCCAUUUAAAGUGGUACGUGAGCUGGGUUUAAAACGUCGUGAGACAGUUUGGUCCCUAUCUGCCGUGGGCGUUGGAAAUUUGAAGGGACCUGCUCCUAGUACGAGAGGACCGGAGUGGACAGAUCUCUGGUGGACCGGUUAUCACGCCAGUGGUAUAGCCGGGUAGCUAAAUCUGGAAGAGAUAAACGCUGAAAGCAUCUAAGCGUGAAACUCGCCUUGAGAUGAGAUUUCCCUGGGGGUUUAACCCCCCUAAAGAGUCGUUCGAGACCAGGACGUUGAUAGGACGGAUGUGGAAGCGCAGUAAUGCGUUAAGCUGACCGUUACUAAUUGCUCGUGAGGCUUGAUCCUAUAACCUUA